UUGACGAGGCGAUGUUUGUGCAAUCAGACAAUCAAAGCGCCUGAGAAAUUCUCUUCAGACCAGUUUUUCUCUCCUUACAAAGUGUCUGUUUAUUCGCAGGCAGAGCAUUCAUAUAUCUUUGUAUCUAAAGGGCUGCAGGCUUGAUCCAUCGCUUGGCUAAGAGGCUGGGGACACCCAGACAGCAAACAUUUCUCUAAAGGAGUCAGUGCUGUUUACUGGGCUUACAUUUCUAGUAUUGCAUUCCCUGGCUAGUCAGCUUUCCUCUCUCUCAAUACCACUGCCAAGCUACCUCUUUUUACUGGGGAAAGCAAUUGCACUAAUUCUACUCUACAAACAUCAGGCAGCCAAGUAGAGUUACAAAUGAAUGAGCUUAUUAUAAAGGUUUAGGGCAAAGAGAUGGGGAGGGAAAUUAUAAACAGAGAACUGCAUGUGGAUGUGUGUAAAAUUAUAGGGAGACGCUACUAUACGUCUCUUGUACCUAACAUUACAUUUCUGUUCAGGCAACCGAAAGAAACCACAAAGAUGCUUCAACACAUUAAGUGGCUUUUGUGAACUUCUUGAAAAAGCUGGUGAGGUUUACCAGCAGCUACUCAAAAAAGUUUCUCAGAAGGAAAGUAGAUAAAGUUGAUUUCUUCUGAACAUUUUCUAAGGUAUCCCUGUGUGGGGUUUUAGACCAACAGCUGUAAAGGGAAAUAAAAGAAGUAACCAACAACUUUCUCCCUGGCUUUUCCAGCUCUGCAAUCAACCAGUGUGCAGGUCUGCUCUACCCAGAUUUAUGAUCAGCUUUGUUCCGUCCCUUUGAGGUUUUCACCAAGAGCCUGAGAAGGGAUUUUCCCAAGGAGUUCCAUACCUGAAGCUCAUCAUCAGGGCAAGCCCUGAAGAGUGAAAGUAAAGGAUCUAGUGGGGGAUUGUGUGAAAUGGGAUGGCUGGAGUCAUCACAAUUAGAGGGGGGUCAAGGCUGAAACCUCUCUACCCCAUGGAAGAGGCCAACUGUCCUCAAGCCUUCUUGUGAUGAUUCAAGAUGAUAAAAUGCCUGCGUGAUGAGAUGACACGAGGGGAAUGACGUAGCAUUCAUUCGGCGGCUAUUGACCUUCUGACAUGUCAGAAGGAGGCUCGUCCACUUCUGGAGCACAGUUGACCAUGGGUAACUGAAACCACAGGUUAUCAAGUGUUCUGGUAAACAACUUUGGCCCAAAAUGGCGGACCUCGGGCAUGUGUGUGAUCCUCUUGAAGAUGCCACGAAAGAACUAAAGAGGAAAAAUAUUCUGGACAUAAAGAUAUACCUUUUGCUGGACCUCCAUGCUCCUCCCUCAGGGAAUGGUGAAGGGCCUCGAGGGUAAAGAUCAGAGAGGACACCAGGGAUUGGUAGAGUGUCCAGUUUGCCGACAAGUAUGUUGUGGUGGUUACCAGCCUAAGCCCUGCAGCCCAGCUGCCUGGGUUGAAUCUGGCCUCUGCGACAUAGGCGCUGUGUGACCUUGGCAAGUGUCUUCACCUCUCUGUGCCUUCUCAUGUCUCCAUCUAGAGAACAAUCAGCAGUGCUUGUCUAACAGGUUGUUCUGAGGGAAAAUGAGUCACUGGAAAUAAAGCACCUAAAACAGUAAAA